rnacentral:rRNA from 1 species
GGUCAAGUGAACAAGCGCAUCUGGUGGAUGCCUUGGCAGCUGAAGGCGAUGAAGGACGUGGCAACCUGCGAUAAGCCCCGGAGAGCCGGUCAACAGGCUUUGAUCCGAGGAUUUCCGAAUGGGGAAACCCGACAUUCGUGUCAUUGCGUACUGAAUCCAUAGGUACGUAAAGCAAACCCGGAGAACUGAAAUAUCUAAGUACCCGGAGGAACAGAAAUCAACCGAGAUUCCCUUAGUAGUGACGAGCGAAAGGGGACCAGCCCUUAAGUGAUUCGAGCGUUAGCAGAAGGUUCUGGAAAGGACUGCCACAGAGGGUGAGAGCCCCGUACGCGAAAACGCUUGAAGCAUGAAAUCGAGUAGGGCGGGGCACGUGAAACCCUGUCUGAAUAUGGGGGGACCAUCCUCCAAGGCUAAAUACUCUCAGCUGACCGAUAGUGAACCAGUACCGUGAGGGAAAGGUGAAAAGUACCCCUGUUAGGGGAGUGAAAAGUACCUGAAACCGGAUGCGUACAAGCAGUGGGAGCGAGAACGCAAGUUCGUCUUGUUAGUAUCGUGACUGCGUACCUUUUGUAUAAUGGGUCAGCGACUUACUCUUGCUGGCAAGGUUAACCAAUUAGGGGAGCCGUAGGGAAACCGAGUCUUAAUAGGGCGUUCAGUCUGCAGGAGUAGACCCGAAACCGGGCGAUCUAGCCAUGGGCAGGGUGAAGGUCAGGUAACUCUGACUGGAGGCCCGAACCCACCUAUGUUGCAAAAUGGGGGGAUGACCUGUGGCUAGGAGUGAAAGGCUAAUCAAGCCCGGAGAUAGCUGGUUCUCCUCGAAAACUAUUUAGGUAGUGCCUCUCGUAUCACCA